rnacentral:rRNA from 1 species
CACGUAGGGCGCAAGCGUUGUCCGGAAUUAUUGGGCGUAAAGAGCUCGUAGGCGGUCUGUUGCGUCUGCUGUGAAAACUCGGGGCUUAACCCCGAGCCUGCAGUGGAUACGGGCAGACUAGAGGUAGGUAGGGGAGAAUGGAAUUCCCGGUGUAGCGGUGAAAUGCGCAGAUAUCGGGAGGAACACCGGUGGCGAAGGCGGUUCUCUGGGCCUUACCUGACGCUGAGGAGCGAAGGUCAGGGGAGCAAACGGG